rnacentral:rRNA from 1 species
GACUGAGCGGCGCACGGGUGAGUAACACGUAUCCAACCUGCCGAUGACUCGGGGAUAGCCUUUCGAAAGAAAGAUUAAUACCCGAUGGCAUAGUUCUUCCGCAUGGUGGAACUAUUAAAGAAUUUCGGUCAUCGAUGGGGAUGCGUUCCAUUAGGUUGUUGGCGGGGUAACGGCCCACCAAGCCUUCGAUGGAUAGGGGUUCUGAGAGGAAGGUCCCCCACCAUUGGAACUGAGACACGGUCCAAACUCCUACGGGAGGCAGCAUG